rnacentral:rRNA from 1 species
UACGAAGGGGGCUAGCGUUGUUCGGAAUCACUGGGCGUAAAGCGCACGUAGGCGGGUUCUUAAGUCAGGGGUGAAAUCCUGGAGCUCAACUCCAGAACUGCCUUUGAUACUGGGAAUCUCGAGUCCGGGAGAGGUGAGUGGAACUGCGAGUGUAGAGGUGAAAUUCGUAGAUAUUCGCAAGAACACCAGUGGCGAAGGCGGCUCACUGGCCCGGUACUGACGCUGAGGUGCGAAAGCGUGGGGAGCAAACAGG